rnacentral:rRNA from 1 species
UACAAAGAGAAGCGACCUCGCGAGAGCAAGCGGACCUCAUAAAGUGCGUCGUAGUCCGGAUUGGAGUCUGCAACUCGACUCCAUGAAGUCGGAAUCGCUAGUAAUCGUGGAUCAGAAUGCCACGGUGAAUACGUUCCCGGGCCUUGUACACACCGCCCGUCACACCAUGGGAGUGGGUUGCAAAAGAAGUAGGUAGCUUAACCUUCGGGAGGGCGCUUACCACUUUGUGAUUCAUGACUGGGGUGAAGUCGUAACAAGGUAACCGUAGGGGAACCUGCGGUUGGAUCACCUCCUU